UCGGGGCAGGACGGUCGCGCCUCCCCGGGGCGCAGAGAGGCGCCGGGCCUCCACCUGCGACUGCGGCUGCGGAUGCGGCGGGGCCCGGGAAGGGACGGCAAGCGCACAAGUUUCUCGGGCGUCUGGGCUUAGUCGGAGCCAGCUUCGCCGCAGGCUCCUCGGUGUCGGGGGCGGGGGCGGGAGCGGGGGGGCUGCGCCGGCGGGUCCCCAGCCCCGGCCACGCGGGCGGCACCGUCCCUGCGGCAGCGCGGGCACCGGCUCGGUGCGGCGGCCGGAGCGGGCGAGGGAGGACGGGAACCCGGAUGCGCACCGGGGCCUGCGCGGCCUUCCUCGGAGGACGGGAGCCGGCGGCGGCCGGAGCGGGGCAGGGGCAGGGGCAGGGGCAGGGGCAGGGGCAGGCCCGCGGGCAGGGGCGGGCGGCGCGCACGCGCUCGCUGGUGGGCGUGGGCGGCUGAGCCGGCGGCGGCGCUGCCCGGGAGGCGCGGGGGAGCCUCGGUACUUUUCCAGCCGGAGGGACCAGCUCAGCUCCGCGUGGCCCGCCGCCCCUCCCGCUGCCUGCUGCCCCGGUGCCUUCCGUCGCACCGGAACCGGCUGCCGGGCGCCCGGGCUGGGACCCCGCGCCCAGCACAGACCGCGCUGGCGGGUGCAGCCGGGGAGAGGAAGCCUCUGGUUUCCGCAGGUCUGCGUGUGACCCCGGGGCCAGCGCGCUGGCGCGGGAGGAGCUGCUGGAGCACCCAGAAGGCGCUCAGGGCUCCAACAGCGUCCCAGGAGGCCUGGCAACGCGGCGGCAGGUGGCUGCUAUCACUCCCAUUUUACAGUUGAGCAAACUUGCCCACGGGCUCCCAGCCUGUCCGCGGUGGGGAGGUCGCGGUCUAGCUUCGGGGGACUCCAGACAUCUUGCAGCUCUGUCCCCGGCGGGAGGACACAACCCCGGGAGCCAGGCGUGGCACAGGGCCCCAACAGGUGGGCCCCAACAGGUCAGCGCUGCUGAGCCGGUGUCGGUUCACAGCCCUGCGGACUCGUGCUUACCGUGGCGGUUUUGGUGCUCAGGGCCUCCCCGCGGGUCGUGGGCAGGUAGCGGAACAGAGCCUGGUAUCGCGGUCAGAAGGGAUGGGCAGCUGGCCCCGCAGGUACCUGGGGGACUCGCCCCGCCAUACUUCUGCUUUCUCCGGUGCGGACGGAGGCCGCAGAAAUAGUCCCUCCUGGGCCACGUGGCCUCCUGUUCUCAGGCGUGGCAAAGAGCCCAUUGUCUGCUUUUGGAAGGGGAUAGACAAUAAACCUCAGAACCUCUCAGCUGCUUUUGUUCGG
rnacentral:lncRNA from 12 species